AGCACCGUGGCUCAGUGAAUAGAGCACUGGACUCAAAUUCAGAAGAUCUGGGUGCUAUACCCAGCUCUGCCA
rfam:Chelonia mydas contig37289, whole genome shotgun sequence.